GGUGAAGAUCCCGGCGAUGGAAAAAAGGCGAAACUGCUCCGCGUAGGCUGCUCGGAGUGGCAUCGCACCUUGUUCGAGUCCGAAGAAGUUCCCGCUUCUCUAAGCCGGCUGAAGGGAUGCGAGUCUCCUCUUGUCCCAACGGGACUGUGUCCUGACACAGAGUGGACUCCGCCCCAAGAGUGCGAGCGUCCUGAGCGUUCAGGGCAUCCUGAGCCGCGGAAGGCAUCCGGCCACACCCCGCUCUUUACCCGCCAACGCCAGCCCAGGUGGCCAGGCUCAGAAUGGACUGUGAGCCUGUGUGUUAUGCAUCUCUGGUUGUAGAGACAAAAGGACAAAGAUGGAACCCACCAAGGAUGCUCCCGGCUGAAUGAAUUGUUGUUCUCUGGCUUACACAAAGUCAAGCGAAUGAUCGUCCCAUGUUAUGUAAUAUAGCAACGGCCUGCUUACCUUACUCCUUUAAUCUACGUUAUUCUGGAAAGUAACACUUGAAAUAAAAAGUAGAUACAUUCUACUGGGAAUGUGACCCUCAGAGAAGGAAAGAAAGACCGAGGGGUUGAACCUGAACACGUGAAAGAGAAUCCAAGGUAAUUGGGGAAGCAUUGUCAAGAGCUCACUAGCUAUUUAAGAAAAAAGCAUCCCAUGUAUCUUAAUAAAUUUUGUCUGAUUGAUGGCUUUUUGAUGGGCCAGAGAGGAGUGAGAGAGAGCCAGAGAGACACAGAGACAGGCAGACAGACAGCAAGGAGGAGUUUUCUUCUCUAUCAGCAGCUAUCUCUGUGUGAGGGUUUCUCCCUUCAAAUGUCAAUUCUGCCAUCCCUGUAGGGAACCUGCUUGGUACUGCCACAUCAGAGAAGCCUCGGUAUGCAUCCAGGCCUAUUCUGCCCUUGGACCACAUUGUACGUUUAGUGUUUCGGAAGAGAGAAAUCAUCAAAGGCGCACCCAAAGAAACAUCCGAAUGAAAGCUCAGUGGCGUUUGCUUUUCCCAAGGACCGGCAUCAUGGUUUCAGAGUUAACACACUGGAGAAAUACCUAGCCCUCCAUGUCACUCCCUACAUCCUCAACACUCACUCAGAGAGGGGCAUUGAAGAAAGGAUCACCAGUGAGUAGUACUUCUCAAAGAGAAAGCAGAAGAGUUUAUUGCUGCUGAAAGUCUCUGAAUAAAUCCAUGCGCCAAAUCACAACCCGAAAAAGCUCCAGAAAGGAUGCACAUGGUCUAAAAAAUGGAGAGACUGGUGUCCUAUGCCCUGUCUUGUUACCCUGAGACAUGAUGUUGGGUAGAGUUGGUCUAGGUACAAUAUUAUUGAAUUUGCAGGUGCCUAAGUAUAGGGGUCUCACACUGCCAUAUACAGUCAUUAUAGUGUCGGGAGACAAGAAAAUCUUUUUUCGGUGCAUCUGAGAACAUUGGAAAAAUAAUUGCAAUGGCCUGCAGACCUUAGGGACUUUUUGGAGAAAUACAGUGUGACCUCUGAAAAUGCUUUAGAUUCUGUCAAAUAUCAAGAUGCAGAUCCAUAUCAGUGAUUACCAAAAAGGCCAGUAUUCAUUGUUCUUGAAGCUAGUCACAGAUAGACACCAAUCAAGAGUCAAAUGCUGUAUCCUCUAACCAUUUAGAGCUUGGAUGCAGCCCUGAGUAUAAAGGAAGUACUGUGGACCCCUUCACCACACAAAGGUCAUAUGUUCAAAUCUCACCCCUCCCAAAGGUGAUGAUAUUAGGGGGCUGGGACUUCCAGGAGUGAACAGAACAUAUUCCCUUAUUAAAAAGGCUCAAGGGAGCUCACUUACCCUUCUGUCAAGUGACAACAGACAGCUGCUGUGAGUAAUUAAGUGUGUUCUAGCCACAGACCCUGCCAGUGCCUUGAUCUUGAAUUUUCUAGCCUGCAGAAGUAUGAGAUGUUUCUGUUAUGUAUAAUUUACUCAAUAUAUAGUAGGUGUUCUGUUAGCUUAUUUUAAAAUGCAAUGCCUGUAUUUAUCUUGAAAAUAAAGGACUUUAGGAGUGUGUGUGUGUGUGUGUGUGUGUGUGUGUGUGUGUGUGUGUGUGUGUGUUCACAUACAUAGCAUAGACAAUAUGUAAGAACUGUGUUCAGUUAUGGAAAAAAUAAAGCCACUUUGCC
ensembl:lincRNA Dubr Dppa2 upstream binding RNA